AUGUUUGGACUAGAGGGAUGUACAUGUUUUAUACCAUGCAAUGAAUCUAGGUUUGGAUGGUUGUGCAGAUUAAUUCCUUUCUAUGCCGAAGCUAACACUGUUUCCAAACCGGCGAACAAGCUUAGGAUCAAGUUUUGCUUAGUUUCAAUAAUUCCUACUCAAUCUCUACAAUUACAUGAAGAGGAUACUUCGAUAACACGGACAAAGGAUAUCGAAGCCUUUUUUUUUAUUUGCAAAAUGGAGGAUCCUUAA